rnacentral:tRNA from 1 species
GCCGAAGUGGUGAAACUGGUAUACACGCUAGACUCAAAAUCUGGUUCCCGUUUGGGAGUGAGGGUUCGAGUCCCUCCUUCGGCA